CUUCAACCUUGAGUGAUCACAGUUUUUGAAAAAUCCCGAUGAGGCAUUAAAGAGGAGGAGGAGUGUCCCAAGGGAGGUGAGCUGGAGGCAAAGUAAGCACAGCUUCCUCCCCACUGGUACUAAUUCAUGGAAAUACAUCAUGUUGGUUUUAAAAAAUGGAAGUCUGAAUGCUUGGUGACAGAGCCUGCAGCAAGAGAAGAAAAAAAAAUGUUGCCUGUUCUUCCAAGUUGCAGAAAAACUGGUACUACUAUGCAUCAUAAAACUGGCCAUUAAAAUGUUAUUUCUAACAGAAAAUUCUGGGAAACACCCAGACACUAAAUAUAUCUUACUGCUCAUCCCAGACCUUUGCUGAAAUGUAACCUUCUCCUUGUAGCCUUUCUUGAUCAGCUAAUUUAAAAAAUUUGCCUCCAUCAGACCCCUGGUUUCCUACUCUCUCUACCUCCCUGCAAGUCUUCUCCAUGGUAAUCAUCACAAUCUAACACAUAUUUUACUUAUUUUGUAUUUGUUUUCACUAAAAUAAACUCCUGAACUUCUGUA